rnacentral:rRNA from 1 species
UACAUAGGGGGCUAGCGUUAUCCGGAAUUACUGGGCGUAAAGGGUGCGUAGGUGGUUUCUUAAGUCAGAGGUGAAAGGCUACGGCUCAACCGUAGUAAGCCUUUGAAACUGAGAAACUUGAGUGCAGGAGAGGAGAGUAGAAUUCCUAGUGUAGCGGUGAAAUGCGUAGAUAUUAGGAGGAAUACCAGUUGCGAAGGCGGCUCUCUGGACUGUAACUGACACUGAGGCACGAAAGCGUGGGGAGCAAACAGGAUUAGAUACCCCGGUAGUCCCUGA